rnacentral:rRNA from 1 species
UACAGAGGGUGCAAGCGUUAAUCGGAAUGACUGGGCGUAAAGCGUGUGUAGGUGGUUAGAUAAGUUAGAUGUGAAAUCCCUGGGCUUAACCUGGGAACUGCGUUUAAGACUGUUUAGCUAGAGUACUGUAGAGGAUAGUGGAAUUUCCAGUGUAGCGGUGAAAUGCGUAGAUAUUGGAAGGAACACCAGUGGCGAAGGCGACUAUCUGGAUAGAUACUGACACUGAGACACGAAAGCGUGGGGAGCAAACAGG